UAGUCGGUGAAAGUCCGACACGGGUAGUUGCCAGAGAGCCCGUUAGCUGACCUGCCAUGCAUGGUCGAAAUACCAUGUGUGAAGCGCAGGGAACAAGUAACCCGAGAGGGUGCGAGCGAACUUACAGGUUGUAACAUAA
rfam:Peptoclostridium acidaminophilum DSM 3953 plasmid EAL2_808p, complete sequence.